GUGCGAAGACUCACCCCGGCCAGCUGCGCCGCGCCAGCUUGCUCGUGAAGAAACACGUGCGACUCUUCUCCACAGUAGGCCUCGCUACCGCGUACAUCACAAUGAUUCAUGACUGAAAAGGGUGAGAGAGAUCUUCCUCGUAGAUGUCAUCUCCCACUUCUGCUUCAUACAUGGCCUUCCUCAUCGCCAUAGUUGGCUUUAUAUCCUUAUUCACUCCGCCGUAAGACAUGGUGCUAGCACGUAAGUGACCGCGUACGUCGAAUCUGCUUUAACGACUGAUACUAUAGUAAGCACACGAUGUACUUUAAAAAAAAUGUACAGAUAAGAUACUCAAAGAUAGUACCUCAAUAUCAACGUUAAGCAAUCGUUAAGCAAACGUUAACGAAUGCUGAAAAAUUUAUAAUUU